AUGGUUCGGUCUCACGACGACGGUGCCGACGGCAGGGAGGAGGCCCGGCCCGUGGCCUGCGAUACGGGCCCGGUGAAGAAGGAUAGGAAGAGGAGGUGUAAGCGGAAUCGGAAUCGGAGCAACGCCAAGGCUACGCCGCCUGCUCCUGCGCCUGCGCCUCCACCUGCCCCAUCGCAGGAGCACCGCGCUACCACCAGCGACGACGAACGGUCGGCUCAGGUCAGGGCCAUGGUGGGUGAGCAGGUGCGGCAUAUGCUUGCCGUCCGCGACGCUAGGAAGAAAGAAACUGCCGAGCUACUUAAACGCCUCAAUGGGGAAAGUGACUUUUCUGUGGAGGAUACAUUUGGUGACUGCAAUGAUGGCAGUCUUGAGAGUCUCCAGGCUCGCAAAGUUGCAUUGUUGGUCUCAAAGUCAAUCGUCAGCCUGUCUUCUUUUGCAGGUGGAAAGAGAAUCCGGGUUUGCUCAGGAUUUGUGAUGCGCCGAAAAGACGAUACCGAUGCAAAUAUGGUUUUAACCUCAGCAACACUUGUUAGAUCUCUGAUCAAUGGAGAUAACAAUGUGAUCUCUGACGUGACGGUCAAGGUGCUUCUACCUGAUUGGCGUAUAACCGAUGGCCAUAUCCUUCUUGUGGAUUUUCACUAUAAUGUAGCUGUUGUCAAAGUUGAAACUGAUUUACCAGUCUUAGAAGAAGGCACUACCAACAAUGGAGUUGUGUUAGCACUUGGACGUGCAUAUGAAGGUGGUUAUCUCAUGUGUUCACGGGGUCAAGCUGUAAACCAAAAAAGCACUUUUGAGUGUUUGGAGCUAUUGGUGUCAAGCUGCGAAAUAUCCAUGGCUGGUUCUGGAGGACCUCUUGUCAAUUACAAUGGUCAAGUUCUUGGUAUGAACUUCUAUGAAGACAAUCAAACAUCGUACCUUCCAAUGUCAAUUGUUUCAAGGAUCCUGGAACAACAUCAGAGCUUCGGGAAAUUAAUUAGCCCUUGGCUUGGAUUAAGGUAUACUUCUCUUCAUAUGGUGUCACUGGCAACCCUGGAGCGUAUCUAUCAAAAAUUCCCAGAUGUUGACCAAGGUUUAUAUGUUUCAAAGUUUCUUAUAACCGGACCCUGUUUCCCGCUAAACCGUUGGUGGGGAUGGUGGUGGAAGCAAGAUCUCCCCUGA
rnacentral:rRNA from 1 species